UACGUAGGGUCCGAGCGUUGUCCGGAAUUAUUGGGCGUAAAGGGCUCGUAGGCGGUUUGUCGCGUCGGGAGUGAAAACUCAGGGCUCAACCCUGAGCGUGCUUUCGAUACGGGCAGACUAGAGGUAUGCAGGGGAGAACGGAAUUCCUGGUGUAGCGGUGGAAUGCGCAGAUAUCAGGAGGAACACCGGUGGCGAAGGCGGUUCUCUGGGCAUUACCUGACGCUGAGGAGCGAAAGCGCGGGGGAGCGAACAGG
rnacentral:rRNA from 1 species